rnacentral:rRNA from 1 species
AGUGAACGCUGGCGGUAGGCCUAACACAUGCAAGUCGAACGGCAGCACAGUAAGAGUUUGCUCUUACGGGUGGCGAGUGGCGGACGGGUGAGGUAUACAUCGGAAUCUACUUUUUCGUGGGGGAUAACGUAGGGAAACUUACGCUAAUACCGCAUACGACCUACGGGUGAAAGCAGGGGAUCUUCGGACCUUGCGCGAUUGAAUGAGCCGAUGUCGGAUUAGCUAGUUGGCGGGGUAAAGGCCCACCAAGGCGACGAUCCGUAGCUGGUCUGAGUGGAUGGUCGGCCACACUGGAACUUGGACACGGUCCAGACGCCUACGGGAGGCAGCAGUGGGGAAUAGUGGACAAUGGGCGCAAGCCUGAUCCAGCCAGACCGCGUGGGUGAAGAAGGCGUUCGGGUUGUAAAGCCCUUUUGUUGGGAAAGAAAAGCAGCAGGUUGAUACCCCGCUGUUCUGACGGUACCGAAAGAAUAAGCACCGGCUAACUUCGUG